rnacentral:rRNA from 1 species
AUGUAUAACCAUCCACCAGAUGAUCCUGAUGAUACAGAUCAACAACAUGAUAGUGAUGCCAGAAACACUACAUAUCCAGCAGAGUUAUACACACUUGAUGAAUUCCUAGCCGAGGAGGACCUGCUAGACUCCUUCGCCGAGGAGAUUGCUGUGGAGUUGAAGGGAACACUUGAGGCUCUUCAAGCAAGAGCACUUAGCAGGAGUGGUCCAAGGAUAUAUGUGAAUAGACCGCGUGAAGAAGCACAUCAACAGCUUGUACGAGAUUACUUCUGCGACAAUCCUCUCUACGGCGCCAAAAAAUUUCGGAGAAGAUUCAGGAUGAGACGACCUCUCUUUCUUCGCAUCGUCAAUGCACUAGGUGAGUGGUCUCCAUACUUCACCACAAGGACAGAUGCGCUUAACCGUGAAGGGCUCUCUCCACUGCAAAAGUGCACGGCGGCAAUACGCCAAUUGGCUUAUGGCACACCUGCAGAUAGUCUUGAUGAAUAUCUCAAGAUUGGCGAGACUACCGCGGUUGAUUGCUUGAAGAACUUUGUGCAAGGAGUGAUUGAUACCUAUGCUGCAGAGUAUUUACGAAGCCCCAACACUGAAGAUACAGAGCGCUUGCUCUGCAUUGGCGAAGGUCGUGGGUUUCCUGGCAUGUUAGGAAGCCUGGAUUGUAUGCAUUGGCGGUGGGAAAAAUGUCCUAUUGCAUGGAAGGGCCAAUUUACUCGUGGUGAUAAAGGGUGGCCUAGUCUUAUUCUGGAGGCAGUUGCUUCGCGAGAUCUCCGGAUAUGA